rnacentral:rRNA from 1 species
UCCCCUAGUAACUGCGAGUGAAGCGGGAAAAGCUCAAAUUUAAAAUCUGGUAGUCUCUGGCUGCCCGAGUUGUAAUCUGGAGAAGUGUUUUCUGUGCUGGGCCGUGUACAAGUCUCUUGGAAUAGAGCGUCAUAGAGGGUGAGAAUCCCGUCUUUGACACGGACAUCCAGUGCUCUGUGAUGCACUCUCAAAGAGUCGAGUUGUUUGGGAAUGCAGCUCAAAAUGGGUGGUAAAUUCCAUCUAAAGCUAAAUAUUGGCAAGAGACCGAUAGCGAACAAGUACCGUGAGGGAAAGAUGAAAAGAACUUUGGAAAGAGAGUUAAACAGUACGUGAAAUUGUUGAAAGGGAAACGCUUGAAGUCAGUCGCGUCUAGCAAGGAUCAGCCCUUCUCGGAGGGUGUAUUUCUUGCUUGACGGGUCAACAUCAAUUUUUGAYUACUGGAAAAAGGCCAGAGGAAGGUGGCACCUUCGGGUGUGUUAUAGCCUUUGGUCAUAUACAGUAGUUGGGAUUGAGGAAUUCAGCAUGCCUUCAUGGCUGGGGGUUCGCCCACAUUCAUGCUUAAGGAUGUUGGCAUAAUGGCUUUUAAGCGACCCGUCUUGAAACACGGACCAAGGAGUCUAACAUACC